AUGCCUCAGUAACGGCGAGUGAGCGGCAACAGCUCAAAUUUGAAAUCUGGCCGCAAGGUCCGAGUUGUAAUUUGCAGAGGAUGCUUUUGGCGAGGUGCCUUCCGAGUUCCCUGGAACGGGACGCCAUAGAGGGUGAGAGCCCCGUACGGUUGGACCACCGAGCCUCUGUAAAGCUCCUUCGACGAGUCGAGUAGUUUGGGAAUGCUGCUCUAAAUGGGAGGUGUACGUCUUCUAAAGCUAAAUACCGGCCAGAGACCGAUAGCGCACAAGUAGAGUGAUCGAAAGAUGAAAAGCACUUUGAAAAGAGGGUUAAAAAGUACGUGAAAUUGUUGAAAGGGAAGCGUUUAUGACCAGACUUGGGCUUGGUUGAACAUCCGGCGUUCUCGCCGGUGCACUCUGCCAGUCCAGGCCAGCAUCAGUUUGUCCCGGGGGAUAAAGGCGGUGGGAAUGUGGCUCCCCCGGGAGUGUUAUAGCCCGCCGUGCAAUGCCCUGGGACGGACUGAGGAACGCGCUUCGGCACGGAUGCUGGCGUAAUGGUCAUCAACGACCCGUCUUGANCCACCGGACCA
rnacentral:rRNA from 1 species